GAAAGGAGGGUGUACUGUAGUCUCACUUAAAUCAAUUGGUAUGCAUGAGCCAUCCGAUUUAUCUCGCACCACUGAUGGGUCCGCUAACACAACUGUCCCUUCUUUCCUCACUGAUCCAUGUGUAUCCCUCCCAAAGCUGAUUUCUAUUGGAAGAGGGCAACCUUCCCCAAUAGAAAGAAACAGAUGUUUCGCAAAGUGUAUGAGAAUAGCUGCCCUCUUCUAACAGAACCUCUAAAGAAGCUUUCAUUGAAUCCAGAUGGCCUAACUCUAAGCAUCUGUUGGUACAAUGUAAAUGAUAACCUGGAAUAUAGC
rnacentral:snRNA from 1 species